UUGAAGCAUGUGGGGACAGCAGACUGAGAUAGGGAGAGAUUGAAUAUGCCCGUAAACACGCUGCUAGGGAUGCCGUCUGGGUCGGCAGCCUUGAGUUCUCUCUCUUUUUUUGUCUCUCACAGAUUCUAGAAUAGCACUCCGCUUCCUCCGUGUUGUUGGGGUUUGCCUGUACAUUUAUGUACGACUGACAGAGGGGUUUGUGUGUUAUUGUGAUCGAGUGCAGCAUUUGUUUGUGUGUCUGCUACCUGUUCUCUGUUUGUUUGCUUGUGUGUAGGAGUGAGUGUGCAAGGAACAUUUGUUAUGUGUGUGAGUUUGUCUCCUCCACCAUACAGCGUCUCAGUCGCCUCCAGAAGGCAUCACGGUAAGACGGCCUCACGGAGUGCACAGAUGGUUAUGAGUGGGCUGUUCAGAGUCAGCACUGUAAAGAAGGCUGCCGGUGGGAGAUGAAGUGUUUUAACCACUAUAGCGGCUACCUGUGUCUCCCACGCUCUGCCUCUGUCAUCACCGCCCCUGAACCCUCCAGCCGGUCAGUGGCCACCCUGCCUGUGGAGUCUUUCGAGGCCUUUAGAUUGAGUCAUCUGUGGAUCUGUUGGGGCGGUAUGCAAAUUGGAGUGGGUCCAGGCUGUCUGAGAUGAUGGUGUUGAUGUGAGCUAUGAUCAUCCUUUCAAAGCAUUUCAUGGCAACAGAUGUGUGUACUACGGGCCGAUAGUAAUUUAGACAGGUUACCUUGGCGUUCUUGGGCAUAUGUACUAUGGUGGUCUGCUUGAAACAUGUAGGUAUUACAGACUGGGUCAGGGAGAGGUUGAAAAUGUCAUUGAAGACACUUGUCAGCUGGUCAUCGCAUGCACUGAGUACAUGCCCUAGUAGUCUGUCUGUCCCUGCAGCCUUGUGAAUGUUAACCUGUUUCAGUGUUGCUUGCUUUGAAGCGAGUAUAGAUGGCAUUUAGCUCAUCUAGAAAGCUUGUGUCACUGGGCAGCUCGCUGCUGGGUUUCCCUUUUUAAUUUGUGAUAGUUUGCAAGCCCUGCCAUAUCUGACGAGCAUCAGAGCCAGGAUAGUAGUCCUGUAUUGACGGUUUGCCUGUUGGAUGGUUUCACGGAGGGUGUAUCAGGAUUUCUUAUAAGCGUGGGUUAGUGUCAUGCUUCUUGUAAGCGGCAGCUCUUUAACUCAGUGUGGAUGUUCCCUGUAAUCCAUGGCUUCUGGUUGGGAUAUGGACAUACGGUCACUGUGGGGACGAUGUCAUCGAUGUACUUAUUAUUGAAACCGGGGACUGAUGUGGUAAACUCCUCAAUGCCAUCGGAUGAGUCCCGGAACCUAUUCCAGUCUGUACGAGCAAAACAGUCCUGUUGAUUAGAGUCUGCAUCAUCUGACCACCUCCGUAUUGAGCGCGUCACUGUUACUGUUUGAGUUUUUGCAUGUAAGCAGGAAUCGGAAGGAUAGAGUUAUGGUUAGAUUUGCCAAAUAGCGGGUGAGGGAGAACUUUGAAUGCGUCUGUGUGCGCAGUAAACACGAUCUAUAGUUUUUUUCAGCCUCUAGUUGCACAGGUGACAUGCCAGUAGAAAUGUAAAUAUCUAGAUUGUCUAGAUGUCUGCAUGUUACACAAAAAGACCUAUCAAGGCCUAACAUCUAAUACUGCCUACUACAGUAGUAGGGGAACAAAUAUGACUGCUUUUGAAGACAGAAUACUGAGUUAAAAUGAUUCAGUCCUGCACAUACAUAUACUACCACUACACCUCCCACUACCCUUUCCCAGGAAACGAACAACAUCAGUGUGAUGAUGGGCCAGGCCCGUGCUGUGACCGGCCCCGAAGAGUACAACCUGGAGCUGGUGUCUGUCAACCCCCUCAUGAUCUAUCAGACCAGCUCUGCCCUACGACUGUCUGUCUUUGUAGGACCAUCUGAGGAGACAGAUGGAGCAAAGAGAAGGAAACGGAAAUAAGAGAGUGGGAGACAGAUGUGAGAUGAGAAGAACUGUUAAGGGUAUGAGAUGGGAACAUUUCUCAGACACAUUACUACUAGACAUGCAUCUUAAAGAAAUCUGCCCGGGGCAAAGCAAGUUGUAAAACCCUUCUUCCAUUAUUCUGUGAGUCACCACAAACACACAUGCUCAUGCACACGCAUGCAGACCAGUGGCGGCUGGUGACGUUUUAAAUCGGAGGACGGGCUCAUUUGUAAUGGUUGGGAUGGAAUAAAUGGAACAUACCAAACACGUUUUAGUACUGAACGAUUUAUUCCGUGCCAGACAUUACUAUAUGUUGUCCUCCGUUCACCAGCCUCCUCUGCCACACGCACGCAUGGUACACUGGCACACACUGGAAUCUAGCCUCUGCAGUGUGGAUCAUAUUUUCAAUAGUUUCUUACUGCACAAAAGACUAGCCAAGAGGGUCCAUUAUCUUGUUACCAAGGCAACUGAUAAAAACAUCCAUUCAAAGCUACCAUUUCAACCCAUGUCACACUAUGUUAUUUUUCUCUCCAUCAGGGUCGUUCUCCUGCUCUCCUCUCAUCCUAACUGUUCUCCAGAUAGUUCACUCUUAACUGUCAAUAAUUAACAUUGCUUGUUCCUAUUCUGUAGUUUUUUUUUUAACAACUUAUGGUUGUUUUGUCAUGUUACUAAAAUUAAAAGAGA